rnacentral:rRNA from 1 species
UACGGAGGGUGCAAGCGUUAUCCGGAUUCACUGGGUUUAAAGGGUGCGUAGGAGGGCAGGUAAGUCAGUGGUGAAAUCUCCGAGCUUAACUUGGAACUGCCGUUGAUACUAUCUGUCUUGAAUACCGUGGAGGUGAGCGGAAUAUGUCAUGUAGCGGUGAAAUGCUUAGAUAUGACAUAGAACACCAAUUGCGAAGGCAGCUCACUACACGAAAUAUUGACUCUGAGGCACGAAAGCGUGGGGAUCAAACAGG